rnacentral:rRNA from 1 species
GCUGGAAUUGCUAGUAAUGGCAGGUCAGCAUACUGCCGUGAACACGUUCCCGGGCCUUGUACACACCGCCCGUCACACCAUGAGAGUUGGGAAUACCCGAAGCCUGUGAGCUAACUUAUAGAGGCAGCAGUCGAAGGUAGAAUCAAUGAUUGGGGUGAAGUCGUAACAAGGUAUC